GACGAACGCUGGCGGCGUGCUUAACACAUGCAAGUCGAACGGAAAGGCCCUGCUUUUGUGGGGUGCUCGAGUGGCGAACGGGUGAGUAACACGUGAGUAACCUGCCCUUGACUUUGGGAUAACUUCAGGAAACUGGGGCGAAUACCGGAUAGGAGCUCCUGCUGCAUGGUGGGGGUUGGAAAGUUUCGGCGGUUGGGGAUGGACUCGCGGCUUAUCAGCUUGUUGGUGGGGUAGUGGCUUACCAAGGCUUUGACGGGUAGCCGGCCUGAGAGGGUGACCGGCCACAUUGGGACUGAGGUACGGCCCAGACUCCUACGGGAGGCAGCAGUGGGGAAUAUUGCACAAUGGGCGGAAGCCUGAUGCAGCAACGCCGCGUGCGGGAUGACGGCCUUCGGGUUGUAAACCGCUUUCGCCUGUGACGAAGCGUGAGUGACGGUAAUGGGUAAAGAAGCACCGGCUAACUACGUG
rnacentral:rRNA from 1 species